GGCAGGCCCUGGGCUGUGUCCUGUGGAAAGACAGGCCACCUGGCCUGGUCUACGGGGCAGGGGGCAGGGGGCAGGGGGCAGGGGGCAGGUCUCCGGAAGCCAGGGGCUCUACCAUUUCCUUCCCCACCCCUGGGCCCUGCUGGGAACUCCAGGACGAGGAAAGUGAACAUCAGAGGAGGAAGGCCCCAGUGUGGAAGGGAGCCUGGGUGUCAGCCAAGCAGAUGAGGAAGCCGAGGCCUAGGAGUUGGAAUGACUUGCCCGAAGAGCACAGCAGAGGCUUGCAAAGGCAUCUCUGGGCCUUCCUCCUCAUCCUGCAUGCAGGCCUGGGCCCCUGUGUCCCCGUGAAGAGCUUGAUAAUCAGCCCCGUGCAGCCCAGUAACCAAGAGGCCUGAACUCUUCGGGGAUCCCAGCAGAGGAAGGGGUGCCCUCAGGCAGCUCCGCCAGACUGCCCUGCCCAGCCAGCAGCAGGCCGUCCAAGGAGAACUGGGAGAGAAGUUGGGAGAAGGCCAGCUGCUAACUGUGGAAAAUAAAUCGGGGACCUCUAACCACACAGCUGAAGAAGGGCCAGCGGCACGUAGACGUGUUUCCUUUUGUGCUCUUGCUCACCAACUGUAAUUGUUAAUUGAAAGCCACGAGUUAUAUAAGUUAUGCGGAUACCAAAGAAGGAAUCGACUCAGUGCUUGAAAAGAACCCAGCUGCUGAGUGGUUUUCAGGAUGAAGAAGGGUUUCUGAAAAGCAGGUGGCUGAGGAGGGCAGCCGCCCCAAAGAGGGCAACCAGGACAAACUGUCUCCCAGCGACAGCUCUCUGGAUCUGCAGACAUGUCGUUCCUGGGGUUUUAGAGUACAAGGAAGUGAUCAAGCUGCUGAUUGUUCACAAAAUCACAUAGAAAGUCC
ensembl:lncRNA